rnacentral:rRNA from 1 species
GAUGAACGCUGGCGGCGUGCCUAAUACAUGCAAGUCGAGCGAACAGACGAGGAGCUUGCUCCUCUGACGUUAGCGGCGGACGGGUGAGUAACACGUGGAUAACCUACCUAUAAGACUGGGAUAACUUCGGGAAACCGGAGCUAAUACCGGAUAAUAUAUUGAACCGCAUGGUUCAAUAGUGAAAGACGGCUUUGCUGUCACUUAUAGAUGGAUCCGCGCCGCAUUAGCUAGUUGGUAAGGUAACGGCUUACCAAGGCAACGAUGCGUAGCCGACCUGAGAGGGUGAUCGGCCACACUGGAACUGAGACACGGUCCAGACUCCUACGGGAGGCAGCAGUAGGGAAUCUUCCGCAAUGGGCGAAAGCCUGACGGAGCAACGCCGCGUGAGUGAUGAAGGUCUUCGGAUCGUAAAACUCUGUUAUUAGGGAAGAACAAAUGUGUAAGUAACUAUGCACGUCUUGACGGUACCUAAGCAGAAAGCCACGGCUAACUACGU